GACGAACGCUGGCGGCGUGCUUAACACAUGCAAGUCGAACGGAAAGGCCCUGCUUUUGUGGGGUGCUCGAGUGGCGAACGGGCGAGUAACACGUGAGUAACCUGCCCUUGACUUUGGGAUAACUUCAGGAAACUGGGGCUAAUACCGGAUAGGAGCUCCUGCUGCAUGGUGGGGGUUGGAAAGUUUUGGCGGUUGGGGAUGGACUCGCGGCUUAUCAGCUUGUUGGUGGGGUAGUGGCUUACCAAGGCUUUGACGGGUAGCCGGCCUGGGAGGGUGACCGGCCACAUUGGGACUGAGAUACGGCCCAGACUCCUACGGGAGGCAGCAGUGGGGAAUAUUGCACAAUGGGCGGAAGCCUGAUGCAGCAACGCCGCGUGCGGGAUGACGGCCUUCGGGUUGUAAACCGCUUUCGCCUGUGACGAAGCGUGAGUGACGGUAAUGGGUAAAGAAGCACCGGCUAACUACGUG
rnacentral:rRNA from 1 species